CCAUAUACUCCUUCAAUCCAACUUUUGUAUGGACUCCGAGCUGCUCUCGACCUUCUUUUCGAGGAAGGCCUCGAAAAUGUGAUUGCAAGACACGCUCGCCUGGGCAAAGCAACAAGGUAACAGUAAAACCUCUGUUAGUACCUGUCAUGUUUUUGUUAAUUAGUGAAUCGCAGCUUAAUUUACACUUCGCUAAGAUAAUACUUCCUCUUGUCCCGUUUUACAUGGAACUCUUUCUUAGUCUGUUGCAAAAAGAAAGGCACCUUUCUAUAUCUGGAAACUCGUUAACUGUAAUGACAUUCGCAUAUAGACACAGAAUAUCAUGCAUAACAUGUUCGAGUCCAUAAGUUCUAAGGGUCCUUUUUGCAUGUAGCACAAAUCUUUCUUUCUUAAACUCCGUGUCUAGUCAAACACUGCCAUAUAAAAUGAAACACAGGGAGUAGUAUUCUACGUCAACUUGAGCAUUAUAGCUUACCAAUCUUGGUAAAAUCGAUGUAUAUCUAGGAGAUGCAUCACUUUCACCAGGAUUCCGCCUUAGCAUACAUAAUUAUUGGAGAAAUGAUACAAGUUUUUGGAAUGAAAAUGCAG
rnacentral:lncRNA from 1 species